GCUAAAGCGACUUGAGCAAGUCUGACGUUCAUGUUCACGGCUGACGUUUUCCUUUCACAGCCCUUUACAUUCAAGGCUCGCUAAAUCUUUAGGCAGCUUGCACGUAACGGCCUGUGAAAAGGAUCAGGUGUUUUCUGGCUCAGUGGCCAACAGUAAUUUCAUCAAGCAGUCGAACUUAAAGCACUUAAGCCCAGUGAACAGUCAGCCGCACGCGGCCCAGAGAUCACUGCAGCUCUAUGGCCUCGGCUCAUAACUCGAUGUCCAAAGCUCGGGCUCCUCUCCUCCGCUGAAACUGGAUCCAGUACAGACCAGCAUCACUCCAGUUUACUGCUUCAUGGGUUUGUCUAAGUGAUCUGCUACUAUAAACCACAUUCAGACUGUGUGUUGGGAAAUCAGCAGAUGUUAAGCAUUUUUAUUUGAUCGAGAGAAAGCAAUGCAUUUUAUUUUUAAAUCGGAGAGCUUUAAGCAUAAGUGAAGUUUGACUUUUUAUGCCAUUGUAAAUAUCAUGAGUGUCAGAAGCUGUCUUUGCCAUUAUGCAUUGUUACUAAACCUGUAAUAUUGUUUGUUUGUUUUUUUAAAUACUGUACCUAGUACUUUAUUAAUACUUACAGAAAUGUGAAUCACACUGUGCUAAUCAUGACUGAAAGCUGUAUAUAGUCUAGAUUUAUAUUUUUUUUUAUUAAUAUUAAUUUUUUUUACUGUAAAUAGUACUGCAUACCUUUAUUUUGAUGACCAAAUAUAAAUCAUGAUUAUUUCACGUAUAUAUAUAUAUAUAUGAUAGGAAAGGUUUUGAGUCAUAUCCCUUUUAAUAAAUCCUUUCUGCUAUUGCAAA